rnacentral:lncRNA from 1 species
CAUUGAACCUGUUGAGGUUGUUGUGCGAGCUUUUCCACACAGAAGACAUCCCAAGACAUGAACUCUGGGAGAGGGAGCUGCCCCUAUAAAUAGGGUGAAGCCCACGAGACAUGUUCACACCCAGCAGAGCUUCCCAAGCGAUUUUCUGAACGUUUGCAGUUGUCCGCCAGACGGUCGAGUUGUCUCAUCAUGCGCCGCCUGCUGAUACUCGUGGCAAUGGUGCUCCUCAUCUCUGGCACCUGCAUCACUGCUCUACAGGCUCGGGGCGAAAUAAAGGACAUGGGUAGAGCUCCAUCUAAGGCCGUCAGUAAGGCUACUAAGAUCCGUACGGUCCCCGGUGCGCCCGACAGGAGUAUCGACACUGGGAAAAAGUGAUCGUAAAUCCUUAGCUCGGGACCACUCAUCAUAAAGCCAGUGUGGUCCCUACUACAGGAUCAGCAACUACUACAAAUCGAGUAAAAAUGCUUUCAGCAAGCCUGCUUGUCUCCCAUCUCCAUCCUGCUUGUCUUCACUAUCCUGCUACACGUGAGCCGCUGACGUACCCUGUACUCAGUGUCAGUGAACAGAUACAACAGUGAACAUUCAGUAACCGCUCUGACAGCAAAUAUUAUCACAAUGUGGUGACAACACACCUUCACUAACAUGUGGCCAGCAGUAACACACAGCAGUAAGAACGAUGGCCAACAAACGAACGAACGAACGAACAAACAAACAAACAAACAAACAAACAAACAAACAAACAAGUGAGAUGCUGUACUUGACAAACAAACAAACAUAAACAAGUGAGAUGCUGCACUUUACAAACAAAUGUUUCUGCUACUAGACGACAUUGUGUUUAUCUACAAUACAAAAUGUUUUUAUAAUGUUGUCAAUGUUAGCUGUAGUCUGUAGUUAUCUUACUCCAAUGUCUUGUCAGUGAACUGCCACAAGCUUCAGUGUAGAUAAAUGACAUCCUGUAGGCUCACUGUGUCUACUGUAGCCCUAUGAUGACUCUUGUCAUCGUGUCACGUGCAGCUUGAAACAUUGUCCACGAUGUCCUUACACACAAGCUCUCUGUUAUAUCUGUGUGUUCACUUCACUCUUGCUCCAUCUUUUAGUCUGCUUCUGCUGCUGGAUGAAAUAAUCUUGAAGUAAACAUAUCUAUCUUCAAUCAAA